GGAUGUGAAGGUGAUCUGGCUGCGACAUCUGUCACGCGACUGAUCCCCGGGGUUGAUUUAGCUGAUCUGCUGGCUAGGCCUUUCUCCCUCACCGCUCAACAAGCUCCCUCCUGAAGCUGCCCUCUUGGUCCAAGAGGAUAACCUUCCCGAAUAGAGGAGGACCAGUCUUCAGUCUAAGGCACACAAGUAGCUGUGCAUCCCUGCUAGAACUUCCAAACAAGCUCAAAAGCACGAGGGGGAAGUUUGCCCAGUACCUCUAGAAGAAGAGGCUUCUAGCUUACCACCAAACAUCCUGGUUUUCUGGAACUG
rnacentral:snRNA from 1 species